UACGGAGGGUGCGAGCGUUAAUCGGAAUUACUGGGCGUAAAGCGUGCGUAGGCGGUUUGAUAAGUCGGGUGUGAAAGCCCCGGGCUUAACCUGGGAAUUGCAUUCGAUACUGUCUGACUCGAGUCUGGGAGAGGGAAGCGGAAUUCCGGGUGUAGCGGUGAAAUGCGUAGAGAUCGGAAAGAACACCAACGGCGAAAGCACUCUGCUGGGCCGACACUGACACUGAGAGACGAAAGCUAGGGGAGCGAAUGGG
rnacentral:rRNA from 1 species